GAAAAAAAAAAAAAAGGAAAAUACAACUGUUACCAGGACUCACUGGGCCCUGCAGGAGACAAAUUGAAAGUAAAAGUUAUCUUUGGGCAGAACCAAUGGAAUACAUGUCCGUGAGAAGAAGAACUCAGUGACUUCUGAAACUUACAAAGCACAAGAUCCACUAGAACAAUGAUACAGUAUUUUGAAAUCCCUCUUUCAGCUUCAGCAAGUCUAGCAGGUUUAUUAUACAACAGGAGUUUUGGCAUCUCACCCUGGCUUGGCUCCUAUUCAGCUUACCCAUCCCCCAGAAAAAAGCAUCGAAACAUUUGACAACUGGGUGUGUCCUGAGCUUAGGGCAUGUGGCAAUGUGAAGGUCAACACAAGGGGAAACCAACUGAAUUCGAAUUUAGAGACUCCUGGUGUUCACAGCUCCAUUAGCACAUGGAGAGGGGAGUCCUUAGUCUAGACCCUUUUAGAUCCAGUGCAAUCUAUAGACCCCACAUAUUGACUACAGUUUCCUGAAGGAUCUUCACUUUUGUGGAAGUUGGAGCUUUCCCUUAGAGACCUUCAUGAUAGAUGUGAUUUAGAGAAAUUGUAUGCAAUACUUUUACCCACAAUCAAUGCCUUGAGUAACUUUCCUAAAGCAAAAAAGAUAAA